UAAACAUGUUGACUCUUCCUAUUUGCUCAUUUCUCACUGCUGCAACGCUUUUAACAGGUGUAAAUUGUGCCGACUCGAUCUCACAGAAGCCGGUUACAGUAAUACAAUUUGAAAGAGAUUCAGUGACUAUUCAUUUCACCUAUUCGAGCACAGCUAACGCUCAUACGUUACAACUGUACCGUCAGGACCCAGGGAAAUCUCCAAUAUUCCUAAUCUACGUUCCCAAGUAUGGCAGUAUCAGGAGAGGAGUGGGCGUGUCCGAUCGAUUUUCUGCAUCUUUGGACAAGUCGAAAAAUGAAGGGAAUUUCACCAUCAAUGAGCUGCAGCUGUCUGACAGCGCAGUAUAUUACUGCGGACUGAGAGACACGGUGACAGGAACCAGGCUGGGCCUCGUACAAAAACACUGUCCCAAUGGCUACUUGAGUCGAGAGUAA